CGGGCUUUGAACCUGUGCGGGGUCUUGAAUGGGGUUCAAUAGGUCCCGGGUUCAAAUCCCGGCAGCCCGA
rnacentral:tRNA from 1 species